rnacentral:lncRNA from 15 species
GUGUUUUCUAUGCAUUUUAAUGAUAACUUGUUAUUAAGUUGACACUGAAUACCGGAAUCUUCUCUGCAGGGGCCUCAGGGGAUCCGAGGUGGCUACGGGCCAGAGGGGCCCCGUGGGCCUGAUGGAGACAGUGGGCCGGAUGGCCCCCCAGGUCUGCCAGGGCUGCAGGGCGCACCGGGUUUUACAGGACGAGUCGGCGCUCAAGGAGUUAAUGGCUCAAGGGUAAGAUUAUGCCACAACAAGAAUUUAUUAGAACUCAGUAAUAUGCAAGUUAAAGGUGGUUUCCCCCAAGGGCUGUGACUGAUUACUAAUCAUUUACUUUUUUUAGACUGUUAAAUGUUGAGAAAUAGUGAAAACUGUCCUCAAAACUUCCAGAGCCCAAGGUGACAUCCCCAAUUUCUUUGUUUUGUCCAGCCAACACUCCAAAACCCCAAUGAUAUUCAGUUUAUAGAGCUAUAAAACAGAGAAAGGCAGCUUAUUCUCACAUUUCAGAAGCCAGAACCAGUUUGGAAGAGAGAGAUGAUGUCAAACUAAGCAUCCAGACUUAGUUUUCAGGUUACUUCCUGCGCGUGUAAAUUGUUUAUUGUUUCUUCCAGGGGGACAUGGGACCUGCUGGCAGUGUCGGUCCCAUAGGCCCGCAGGGCCCUCCAGGUUUAGAGGGACAGAUGGGACCUCCAGGACUCAGAGGACCCCAAGUGAGUACAGUUCAACACAGUUUUUUUUUUUUACUCGUUGGGGUGCUG